UACGGAGGGUGCAAGCGUUAUCCGGAUUCACUGGGUUUAAAGGGUGCGUAGGUGGGUUGGUAAGUCAGUGGUGAAAUCCCCGAGCUUAACUUGGGAACUGCCAUUGAUACUAUCAGUCUUGAAUACCGUGGAGGUCGGCGGAAUAUGUCAUGUAGCGGUGAAAUGCUUAGAUAUGACAUAGAACACCAAUUGCGAAGGCAGCUGACUACGCGAGUAUUGACACUGAGGCACGAAAGCGUGGGGAUCGAA
rnacentral:rRNA from 1 species